UCGAGUACGACUGACCCACCCAAGGCGUCCACACAAGGCACCUGCAUCCAGAAUUAAAGAGCCCGGUAGAUACCGGGGCUCCGUUAGACGGGGCUGCAGCUCAGCUGGGAGAGCACCUGCUUUGCAAGCAGGGGGUCACCGGUUCGAUCCCGGUCAGCUCCACCAACCAGCACUAAGGCGAGUGAUCGCACAUUUGGGUCUGUAGCUCAGGUGGUUAGAGCGCACCCCUGAUAAGGGUGAGGUCGGUGGUUCGAGUCCUCCCAGACCCACCAUUCUGGAUGUAUCUGCGCACACGAAUUUACAGCAGUACGGCAUUGUGGCCGUAGUGCGUUCUUUGACAACUUGGGAUGUGAACAAGCGUUUGGGACUCAGAUCGAGUCACCAACACGUGUCGAGGCAAGUAGGCGAAACAAUGAGGAGUUUGGCCAAUCCGAGGCAACUUGGAGUUAUAUGGUCAAGCGACUAAGCGCAUACG
rnacentral:tRNA from 1 species